AAAACUCGCGUUUUUCGAUUAAAAGUUUUUGCGCUGGCAAGAGGUGGUGUUUCGGGCGUAGCAAAAUUGCAAAAUUGGUAUAUCACGCAAAACUGCAAUGGAAAGACCUUUUUCUGCCACUAGUUACGUGAAU